UACGUAGGGUGCAAGCGUUGUCCGGAAUUAUUGGGCGUAAAGAGCUCGUAGGCGGUCUGUCGCGUCUGCUGUGAAAUCCCGGGGCUCAACCCCGGGCUUGCAGUGGAUACGGGCAGACUAGAGUUCGGUAGGGGAGACUGGAAUUCCUGGUGUAGCGGUGAAAUGCGCAGAUAUCAGGAAGAACACCGACGGCGAAGGCAGCUCGCUGGGACGGUACUGACGCUGAGGCGCGAAAGCGUGGGGAGCGAACAGG
rnacentral:rRNA from 1 species